rnacentral:lncRNA from 1 species
GCAUCCUUUCGUUGUCUAAUGGGGAUGGAUGGGGUUGGGAAUUGCGGGAAAUGUAGUAAGUCUAGAAACAGAAUUUUCUUCUGCUUCGGAAAAUUUAUUUCUCUACAGUCUAGGAAUGCCCAUCCCAUGUUUAUGUUGCCCUCACUGCCGUGGUUCUCAGGCAAACAACGUGGUUGUAAUUUUCAAAUGUAUCCACUCUGCAUCCACCAUCCUAGCAUUCUUCAUUACGACGUGUCCGUAGGCGAAUUCCUUCCUGCUUAAAAUGAAGGUCUUGAUUGGUGCACAGCUUUGGAUUAUGUAUCCAGCAAUGUGAAAAGAAAAAGAAUCUUGUGGUAUCAAACUGGAAGUUUCCUGUGGUGUAUGUACCAGUGUACUUUACUUUGUUGCAGUCCUGGUUUCAUCCAAUUAGAACUCGGGAAUUGGGCUUUCUCCUCACAGGUACAAUCCAUUCUAUAAUUGGUCGGAAAUUAUAAUGGCAAGCAACACCAUUGGCUCGGGUUUAUAUUUUACAAAUUCGUGUCCGUAAGGUGCGUUUCGUGUCAAAUGUUUUCCAAUCUAAUAGAGUUUCAGAUGGAUGAGAUCAACCCGAGUUCUUCGUUUGAAAGUAUGUGACCGAAACUUAUGUAAGAUUCGAAUAUGGUAAUAAAUUUAUGUCGGAUAAAAACAUUAGCAGAUAUUGCAUAUUCGAUGGUGUUGCACAAAGCGUCGUGAUUAUGAAUGAAGUUAAAUCAACUCGUGUAUAUCUGUUCAUCCAUGCUCUGGGUGGUUUGUGGUUAUAAAAUUUAUAUUCUGAAUCAAUAAUUUAUUUCAAAAGUAAAUGUAGGCCUAAUCUUCAUUUAUUAUGUAAUGUUAUGUAAAUAUCGCUAAAUAUUAACCUGGCUUUUUGUCAUCAA